UCCGGGCAAAACUGGGCUAUUCUUUCCUAAUACGUGAAUCCUCCAGUAACAGAUCCCAGGGAAGAUAAGCCUGAAUACCUGUGUUUGUAACCCAGAGAUGUUAAAGGACUAACAUAAAAGCACACAGCCACUAAGGAGGAAGGGACACGUGUGACUUAACUUAGUCCUGUGAACUGAGAUCCCCGUAGCAUGUGGGAAAACCACGCUGCCUCGCCCUAUUAAGAUAAACCCCUCUGUGUUACUUGGGAGAAUCAAAAGGACAUAAAGAGGGAACUUUCUACCCAAAAGCCAUUGCUUCGUGCCUAUUUCAACCCAAUGGGGUUGGUGGUGUCUUCCAUAGAGUAUCACGUUGGAGAUGCAGCUCCCUAGAGAAUCAUGUCGGGAGCUUUCCCUCUGACGCACACAGGACUCUCACACGCCCAUCCCAGCGAGAGGAGAGGGAAAGAGGACAGGCUGGUACAGCUGCUGGGUGCGUGCAAGCUUCGUGGCACCCUGCUCGUACAGCCCCGCUGUGUCUUGUAGAGGCAGAGCAAGACACAGAAAGGAGCCGAGCACAGUCGAGAAAUAUUUACUUUGCAGAAACAUCUGUUGCUGCAAAAGCAGAGCGCCGGCCAGUGUGGAGUGAAGUCGUAACCGUCAGCAUCCGGAGGGCCAAGCGUCUGCUUUCCAGAGUAGCUAGGCCAGGCGGGUAAGGGCUAUGGAAGCAGCUAGAAGUGUGGGACUCGAGAGAUACCCCCAAAGCCAUCUGCCCAUUCAGGGGCCAGAGGCAAGUGCUCUUUCUUCCCUGAGAUGCCGAUUCUACUCUGCACACGGUCUAAGAGAAUCUAACCCAGCGAUGAUCCUUCUUUCACUAAAACAGAAGGUUUACCAUAACUCUCUUAAAAUUGGAAUCUACCUUAAUUUUAAACAAGUUUGGCCAGUAAUACCACAAGUCAUUUCCUUUUUCUCCUUGGGUAAUACUUAACAUACAUGUACUCACACACACAUGCACACAUGUGUACGCCCACAUAAUGAAGGACUCAGCGUAACCUUAUAUUUAUUUUCAGUGCAUCCAUUGCCUUUGUGGCCUCCAAAGUUACCAAAAUUGUAUAUUAACUACCCUUGAAGACUGCUGCUGCUCAGUCACAUCUUUCUCUCUAGACUUAGAAAGUGAUUAGUUAAUAAAGACUAUUGCUGCAGUAAGAGCAAUAUAUAUAACAGGCUGCUUAUGGCAAAAGAAAAGCAAAGUCCCAGGCCUUGAUCAUCUUUCCCUUCUCUGAAUACCAGUUACACUGACUCUCUGCCUGACUACCUUGUAUUUGGAAUCAUUCUGGAACUCUUCAAGAAUGGCUUCCUGUCAUAAUGCACAAAGAGUGACCGGGACAGGGCUGGACACAGGGCCCCUCAAAACCUGCCAUGCUGAUCUGAGGGGGGCACAGCAAGAUACGACAGCUUAUGGGUGGAGUGUCCUAGAGUCACCAGAGAGGACCCAGAGAGGGACACCAGCCCCCUAGAGACUGCAGGUUUAGUCCACACCCCCAUCCCCAGAUUCCAGCAGAGCUGGAGGAAGAGCCACCACCAACCAGCAGGAGCAUGAAGAAAAACCUCUAUACCAGGGGACCCAGAGAAAUGAGCUGCAAACCAGCCAGCUGCCGGCCACCGCCAUGUGUCCUCUUUUAGCCCCAGCAUAACCCCAGGCCUGGACGGAGUUAAAACAGUUUUAAGGAGAGUCCCUUAAAGGAGAUCUUUCUUUUCUCUCUCUCCAUACUGGGCAGACUGAGAACAGAACAUAUCCUUUCAGAAACUGUGCUUGGACAAAGGCAUUUCCCCCAAGUCUGCAUGUGGCAUUUUAAACUUAGUUCAAUGUGCUUAACCUAUUAUAAGGAAGUGAUGUUCCCUUGUUAAGUGCCAUGCUACAGCCUGAACCCCUGCACGACACCAGCAAAAAGAAAGAGACCCUGUUCAAAUCUUACAGCCAAACAAAAUUCCCCAUAGCAUGUCUCAUUGCUGCGACGCGUGGUCUUACCUGUGGCCACUAGGUGGCAAUCAACCAUAUCAGAGGAGGUGUGCUAAGACUCAAGGAGAAAGGACAAGGCCAGCCUUCAAGGCAGUGCUGAGGACAGAGCCUGUCCCGUGUACGAUGCACCUGCCUGUGAAGGGAACCGUCCUAUGGGUGCUGAGCCAGCAACUGGGGAAGGGGCCCUGCCUGCACGUGGGCAGAACUGCCCUGAUGCAUCCAGAGGCCUGUGCUCUGAGAUAGCACACUCAAGCCUGAGAUGCAGAGGGGAAGGGGCAAGGAGAUGAAGUCGCCGCCUACCUUUCCCGCACACCUUUGCACAUCUGGCUCGAAAACCUCUCCUCUCCCAGAGGCAGAUGAUAUGCCCACCAACCAGGCCGGCCGCAGCACGUUACAUGGCGUGCAUUCCGAUUAUGCACCUGCUCGCUUUUCCUGAGGCCCUUUCCCUGAAACUGUGUUUCCUAAACGAGGCCAGAGUUAGCAUCGACUCUGGAGAAUGUGUUUUUCCAAUCAGAGCACGAAGGCUAAUGAAAUUUUCAGAGCUAAUUUUGAAAUCGAGUGGAACAAAGAAGUGUUACCCUGUCCAAGAUGAGGUUUCUAAUUCUAUUUACAAGGAAACACCCUUCAAGAAUAAUAUAGGGGGCCCAACCCCACCUUAAUCUACAUCAAAAUCGCUAUGAAUAUAC